UGGGAAAUCAUCUAAUGGUAGGAUAGCGGCCUUUGAAGCCGUCCGUCCAGGUUCGAAUCCUGGUUUCCCAGCCA
rnacentral:tRNA from 1 species